CUUUUUGGUUUUGAGAGCUUAAUCUUGUUAGAAGCAUGAUAUUUUGUGGGGUUUGGGGAUUUUUGAUUGAAGGGAUUCUUCUUUGGCUACAAAAUUUUCAAUUUAUGGAGUUCUAUUCUCAUGAUAAUAUUAAUGUGAUACCAAAUCCAUGGCGUGAGACUUGCACUUGGCUAAGUUCCACCUUUCUGAACUAUCAUGUGGAUGCAUAAACAAGGCCUUUUCUUAUGCUAUUCAGCUUCCAAGGAUCAAAUGUGUGUCAUGGUACCUUGCACCGGCCACCACAGAAUGAGAGAGAUAGAGACUCCAGGCUCAUAUUUUAACAUGUCCUUUCCAUACUUUCUGAACAUUAACUUUGUGAGAUAGGAGGUGGUCUAAUUGUUUUGAGAGGUUGGGUUGGAGUCAUGCUUGGAAUCAGAGAAACCAAUUUUUGAUUGGUAUCGUCAAUAAACUGUGAUUGGGCCAACAGAAAUCUAUCAUUUUUCAUUUUUUUCCCUAGAUAUUUGGUUUGUAUUUGUUGUUUGGUGAAAAGCAAUCCAUCAUGUCCAUAUUAUCAUUUUUGUUGUUUUUUUUGGAUUCGUUGUCUUGAUAAUCCAUAUUAUAUCAUUGCUUCUAGAUUUUAAUUUUAUAUGAUAUUUGAAUUGAUUAGGCAGGUUCAGGUACCCAGCGGGUUUACCAUUUUUAACAGGAUGGGUUUGCAAUUUUUAGAUAAUUUUGAUAUUAGCUUUAGGAUGGCUUCGGGUUGUAAGAUUUUAAAUGGGUUCAGAUAUGGGUAGGGCAUAUUUUGCGGGUACCCUACCUGUUGCAAUCCCUAGAGUGAAGAGGAGAAGGGUAAGAAGUUACAGAGUGGAGAGGUGUGUUUCAAAAGAAAAAAAGAAGUGGGGAGGUUUGAAUCGCUCCCUUCACAUGACAUGCAGUGCAUGCAGUGUGGGGUAUAAUUUCUCCCCUUGAUAGCGCCGAUGGAAAGCCAUCUUCUCUUAUCCUUGAUAUGUAUUUGUGUCUUCCUCUCAGACGAUGAGCAUGGCGAACUCUGGAUGGUCUCUUGUUAGGCAACUGGUUUCUGCCUUUGUUCCAUGUCUUUUCUUCUCCCUCUCCCUCCUCUGUCUGUCUCUUCUGGAAUAAUGUUUUGCAUAUAGAGGAUCAGCAGCAUUGCUCUAUUUAUAAAGAGGCUAUGAUGACUGCCCAUGUGAGAUGCACCUGAAGGGGCUUCUUCAUUUAGUAAGAGAGAGUGAGAGGAUUUAGUAAGAGAGAGUGAGAGGGAGAUGGAGGUGAAGCAUUUCUAUUCUUGUAGUGGCAGGGCAAGCUUGGACGGUCUGCUGCACUACAGGCAACCACUUGCAGCCACCUCAUGGUUAAGGUGCAGAGGAAUUUGCGGUGCCUUAUUUUCCAGUGGCAGAUCUGAGCCUUCUUUUCCUUUUUCCCAUGUUUAUUUUGUUUGGUCUCUUGUUUAAGUACUGUUUUUAAGUUUUUAUUUUUUUAAUUUUUCUACGCAUAGUGACCUUUGAAAGAUUUGAUUUGUUCCUGAAGUCUCCUGUUAACCAAAAUGAUAUGGUGAUGAAUGAAGGAUUAGAGAAAUAUUUUAAAUUAUGAGCAGCUAAGUUUCCAGAACCCUAGUACAUACUUUCAGCUCCACCAAUUUGAUAGACCGUAUUAACUGAAGCAUGAAGCUAUCAUGUCCAUUUGAGCAUUGGCUUAGCAUCAACUAAAGGACCAUCCAGAAUUGAAGGCAAAAAACUUGAAUGAUAGCAUCAGAAGGUACUUCACACUCUGAGAGUCAGGUCUGGAAUAUGCAUGAGCUGUGGUUCAUCUUUUUCUCCCCUGUUCCAUUCCCCACCAAACAAGGGAACUUGCAAAACAUAGUGUUGUCUUCUUAAAUGAAAGUUUUCCUUUGGGAUGGUUUUUGGAAAGAAAUAUAUGAUAAAGAUUGGUUAAUUAUAUUUACUGUUCAAAGUUAUAUGCUGUUGGAGAAAGUUGCAUCCUCAUUAUUCAAUAUGGUGGAGCUGUUUCUGAACGAGAGAAUCCAACAAAGAGGUAGGAGACAACUAAAAAAAUUCUGCACUUUUCUAUUUUGUGUCCUUUUGAGAACCAAAUUUGAAUAUGAAACAUGGUCUGGAUGCCUGUUAGCUGCAUGUGAAUAGUUUUAUAUCGAAGUGGCUGUGAUGACUACUAUAGUUACAGUAUUCUGCUAAUUAUUGAAAAACUUUUGUAUUGUUUCUUUGAAUUAUUCUUCAAAAACAAAUUAAAUCCAGAACUUUUCAUUAUUUUCGAAUUGCAUGAAAAUUUUAUGAUUUAUUCACAAGAUAUUCAUGGUUAAUUUAAUAUUUUUUUUUGGUUUUGCAAAUUAAUGAUAACAUUUGUUAUUGUCAAUGAUGUUGUUUUCUCUAUUAUUUGUUAUUGUUGCCUCUCCUAUACUUAUUUUGGAGUAAAUGAGUUUUCAAGUAUAUUAGAAAUUAUUUUUCUAGUUUUACUGUUUAUUUCUAUUUUUUAGUUAUCUGAAAUCGUUCCAAACUUCUUACAAAUUUGCCAGAUGUUUUGAAGGUUUUGAAAUGGAUUAGUUUCAAAGGUUACCCUUUACAAAUGUUCUGCCCCCCACUCUCUCUCUUCUUUUUGUUCUCGUUGUUCUUUUGGUGGUGGUGGUGCUUUAGCGAAAGAGUAAUGCUAAUCCACCACCAAAUGAUGGUGCCAGCAAAAGUUCUAUUCCAUAUGAAAAAUUGAGAACUAGCAGGACAAUGGGCUGAUUUUGCAAAAGAUUAUGUUAUGGGGUUCCUGAACAGUUCUCUUGCCAUGUAGGGAUAAAAUGAUUGAUAAAACUCAAGGGAUUUGUUCUCAUAUUUGUUGCUCCGUUAUGUGGCACAUUUCAUAAUGUAAAUUCAAAGAGAGCAAUUUUAAGAAUACAGCACACCUGCUGAGUGAUUUCUUGAGUUACAAUUUUGAGUUACUGAAAUAUUUUUAUUUUGGAAUUGGCAAAUCAGUAUUUAUGGUUCUGGCGAGCUUUUGGCGUGUGCAUAACAGGCAUCCCUAAGCUUUUUCCUUUGCCAAAUCCCCGGUUUGGCUAGGUCCAAAUCAAGGAUCCAAGCCGCUAUAUGUGACAUUUUAAAAGGAGGCUGUGAUGACAGCUAGUGUGAGAUGUGCCUAAAAAGCGGUUUUCAUUGAGAAAGAGAGGGAGAGAGAUGGGCUUGAAGCAUUUCUAUGCUUCUUGUUGUAGCAGCAAUACUCAUUUGGCCGACCCCAACUAGUUUGGGAUCAAGGCUUAGUUGAGUUGAGCUGGGCUCUUGUUAUAGUGGCAAGGCAAGUUUGGAUGGUCUAAUACUCUGCAGGCAACUGCUUGUGGCCACCUUGUUGUUAAGGCACAGAAAAGCUUGCAAUUCCUUAUUUUAAAAUCUGAGCCUUCUUUUCCUCCCCUUGUUUACCAUGUUGCAUGUCUGAAUUAAGUACUGCUUUUCAGUUCUGAAAUUAUGUUAUCAUUAUUCGUCUUUAUUUCAUGUGAAAGACUUGGUUUGUUUCUGAACUCCCUUGAUCGCUAGAAUGAUACGGUGAUGGAUGAAGGAUUGGAUAAAUAUAUUUUGCAUUAUGGGCAAUUAAAGUGCUGGAGUCCCUAAUACUGGAUAUCUGGUCCAGAAAGCUCAGAGACUAUAUCAAUCAAAAACUCAUGAAGCUAUCAUGUAAAGACGACUUUGUUUUCAUGUUGGUUUAGUAAGAGGGAAAUGCUACAAUUCUCAACCAUGGUGCCUAAAAAAGGCCUUAGAAAUAAAACGGGCUAUAUUUGGAAUAUCCCCAAUUUUGUGGGGAAUGGACUGGAAUCAGUAGCUGUUCCCUGUAUAAAAACUGUUUUUGGUUCGUCUAUUAAGACUUGAGUGCGUAGGAAAAGUUUUUUAUUUCUAAAGAGGCUGUGAUGAAUGCCACUGCAAGAUGCGUCUUAACAACAUUUUUCUUAGAAGGGGAGGGAGAGAGAGAGAGAGAGAGAGAGAGCAUUUCCAUUCUUCUUGUUCUAGCGUAAAGCAAGCUUGGAUGGCCUGUGACUCUGCAGGCAACCGCAUGCAGCCACCUGGUGGUGGAGCUGCAAAUGAACCUGCAAUGCCUUUUUUUUAAAAUGACAGAUCUAGCCUCCUCCUCUGCCCUUGUCCUGUUAAAUCACUAAUCUAAAGGUUUUUUAUUUCUCCUGUUUUUAAAUUAUUUUUUCAAGUCUUCUUCACUUUAUUAUGUGUGAAAUACUUGGUUUGUUCCUGAAGUCCCUUAAGAACUGAAUAUGGUUACAGAUGCAGUAUUGAGGAAUAUAUUCUGAAUUGUGCAAGUCAAGGUCAGUAAUAAGAACACGACAACCAGCUGAGUAACAUAUUGUGUUUCCAAGUUACAAAAGUAUUUUUGUUGCAUUAUUGAGUUCCUAUUUAGCUAGCAAAAUUCAACAAAUCGGCUAGGGUUAUUGAAAACCUAAUGCUUGGAGAAAUACUAAAGGUCAUCCAUGCUGCCACCUCUUGGUUCGCAUUGGUCCUGUUAUGGAUGGAAGAACUUAUCUGGCUUCCAUUCGUAAUAUGUAGUCCUCUCAUUGCUUGGUCUAAUAACUAUAGAGACAAUCCCCAAGAUAAGAGGUCAGUUGGAGAGAGAGUGAUGUAUUUUGCCUUUUGCCAAUGACAUGUUGACACCAAUCCCCUGCGAGGGAAGCAUGUUAUUUUCAUUAUUAAAAGUGAAAAAUGCUAUGAAGGCCAACCAUGUAGCCACUCUUUUUCGUUCAGAAUGUUUGUGUUGUCUAUAUUCUAAGCCAUGAUUUACAGACUUAUCUACGUCAGGAUUUAAUCAAGUUUAUCAAAUAUAGUUUAUCUCAAAAAGAGCGAGGAUUUAAUCAAGUUUAUCAAAUAUAGUUUAUCUCAAAAAGAGCGUUUUUGUCGAGAAUGUCAAGAAGAGUUUGUAAAUUAUGGAAGAUCGCGCCGGCAUGAGCUGUAUCUCAAAAGAAGCGAUCCCGCAGUUGUUGAGUACCGAUGUACUUUGUGUUUCCAAGCACCGGUCAAUGCUCAAGUGGACCAUCUUUUCACAUUGAUAUUAAAUCACAUCGUCAUCUGCGAGUCCGGAUACUCAGCAAGCAGAGCGGAGGCGGGGAAAGUUAAGAAGUUGCAGGGUGGAAGGGUUUGUUUCAUCGGAAAAGAAAGAAAAAAAAGUGUGAAUCGCUCCCUUUGAUAUGACACGCGGUUCACGCAGUGUGGGAUCUAAUUUCUCCCGUUGAUAGCCCCGGUGCAAAGCCAUCCUCUCUCAUCCUUGAUGGUUGUAUUCAUUCAUGUCUUCCUUCCCGACGAUGGGCAUCGCGAACUCCGGACAGUCUGCUGUUAGGCAACCGAGUUCUAGCCUUUGUUCGACCUCUUUUCUUUACCUUCUCCCUCCUUCCUCUCCGUCUCUUCUGGAAUAAUGCUUUGCAAACAGAGGAUCAGCAGCAGUGCUCCAUGUAUAAAGAGGCUAUGAUGACUGCCUGUGCGAGAUGCGCCUAAAGUGUCUUCUUUAUUUCGUAGGAGAGGGAGAGAGAGAGAGAGAGAUGGAGGUGAAGCAUUUCUGUUCUUGUAGUGGCAGGGUAAGCUUGGACGGUCUGCUACACCGCAGGCAACCACUUGCAGCCACCUCAUGGGGUUAAGGUGCAGAGGAACUUGCAAUGCCUUUUCCAAUGGCAGAUCUGAGCCUUCUUUUCCUCUUUCCCAUGUUUACUUGCUUCACCAAUCUGACAGACCGUAUCAACUGAAGCAUGAAGCUAUCAUCUCCAUCUAAGCGGUGGCUUAGCAUCAACUGAAGGACCAUCCAGAAUUAAAGGCAAAAGAACUUGAAGGAUAGCAUCAGAAGGUAUUUCACCCCCUGAGAGCAGGUAUGGGAAUCGGGUCUUACCUUCUUUCUCCAUGUAUCAAUUGCAGAUAAUAAUUUCUUGCUUUCCCUGGGCUUCACUUAGUCUUGUUAUGUAUGAACACAUAGGGAGGGGAGAAGAAACUUAGGGGGAAAAAUUGUAAAUUUCUCCAACUCCUGGGGGGAGGCUCAAGGUUUCUUCGCUCGUCCCCUUCUUGCUGAAUCUAGCGUUAGGUCUCUUCUUUAUCCUCUUCCGCGUGGCGUCGUGGCAGCGCACAAGAGAGUUGUGAGGGCGUCAUCUGGAACUG